CUUCCACUAACCCCUGACCGCGCCGAACAGAUACGGGACAGAAAUACUCAAGUGAGGCGGGGAGGGAGUCUGGAUUACAUGGAAAAUCCUUGCCGCUUUCCAAGAAGAAAUCAAGAGUUUGUACCAAACACCUGAGGGUCAGGAUAGGGCUUUUCAGCAAGUUCCCAAUCUCUGUAGAAAGUCAAGGUCCGCGGAAAAUUCGACACCCACGCGAGCCAGCGGACUGAGAUGGCUGCCGGUGGAAAUGAGCUCUGCUGGGGACAGAGGCCCGAAGCCUCCUCCACUGCCCUGGCCUGGGCACUGCCGGGCUCUUUGCGUUCCCAGCCCAGAAAACAAUCCCGACCUGGGUCGGGGGCCCUCUUGGCUUCCCCCUCGAAACGUACAAAGCUCCCAUUUUCUCCUUCUCCCUCUUUGCACCUUUCUCAUUGUGUCAUUGUGUUCCCCGAUCCCUGAUCACCUCCGGGGCUUAGCCAGUAAGCCUCUCCGUCGCGUCCAGCUCCAACCCAAGAGGCUUAACUUUUCCCAUCUAAGGUCAUCUGGAAGACCUGUCCUGUCUGCUCCCAGCCCACGUAGACCUGUUUCGUCUCCGUCUUUCUGCAUAUGUCUAGUGGGGCCGGCCCUGGAGCCAGAGACUAAAUACCAAAUUGCCUUGCUCUGCGUGAAGUCUUCUCUGUUAAACAGCAAAUUAUUCAAAGACACUUGUUCGAGACGGGAUGCUCCGCACGCCGCCUGGGGACAGGGAUGCCACCGCGCAAAUUUGCUCCUUCAACUAGCACUUAUGGAACACCGACUGCGUGCCGGGGGUGCUGCCGCAGGACGCUGAGGACGCGGGAGGAACCUGCGCACAGAUCCAUGGUUUCUGUCGCUCCCCAGGUGAUGACAGCUCCCUUCCCUAAAAGCUUUGCCGGCUCCUCCUGCCUGAAGGUGACGUCUGAACAACUCCAGACGAUGGGUGAUGACCCUUCACAGCCCAGACCCAGCUCACCUGUUGGGCCCCUCCUCUGAAAUCCCUCAGGAAGUCCCACUACCCUGAGAUCACGUCUGAUUCCUGGAUGUUCCUGGAAUGCAUCAGGCGGGCUGCAAAGCCUCCACACCCCGAAUUCCAUUCCCACGGCCUCCACACCUUCUCCCCUGCACCUUUCCUGCCGAUCCUUCCAAGCCAGGCUAGGGGGCACUGGCCUCGUGGCUGUCCCUGACUACGCCUGUUCUCCCCACCCAGCCCCCCUCGCUCCCCCCAACCCAGCAGCCACCAUCAUGCUGGCCUCCGGGCUCCGGUGGUGCUCCCGGCUGGCAGGGAUGGACCGGAUCAUUGUGAGUUGCUUCCACGGUCUCUCUCCUCCUGAACUGUACCAGGGAGAAGACCCGUGUCUUGUUCACCUCAGUGCCCACCCAGCACCUGGCACUCAACGAGCCUCUACCGAGUUGAGCUGUCUGGGCAGCGAGGGUGAGCAAUCCUUUUACCUAAGGAUCUACAGAACUUACCCCAGUGUUGGGAAGACAGGAAUAUCAACUAUGGCUGCAGCCUCCUCUCCGGUGAAUUUUCAUUCAACUCCCAGUAUAAAUAGCUCCCUUUCCCCCUAUCAGAAAACAUCUGCUCCCACUGAGCUGCCCAGGCCUGUAUCAACGCUAUAAAUAUCCUGGCCGCGUCUAGCCUGCUCUGGCAUAGGGGCCAGGAGAACUUGGAAAGAGUUGAACACCAAGCGAGGUGAGGGCAGCCAGAGUGAAGGAGCAGAAUUGCCCCAUCUCCCCCUCUUGCGCCCCCAGCCACAGGCCGACAACGCUUCCCGCGUGGGCUUGGAACCCCCCACGGUAGUCCCGGGAAUUCGGCAGAGACAGUCAGCCACCCCUGCUCUCCUGGGUUUCGACACAGCGUGUGAUGCAAGGACCCCACUCACGUCUCAGCGGCUGAGAUGCGGCUUGAAACUCAAUUUGAGCCAGCUCUCCCCAUUCCGGCGGGGAUCUUGCAGGAUGGGAGGUGAUAGGGCUUUGAGAGCAUUGCCUUUCAUGCACAUUUAUACGGAAUCGUGUGAUGCUGUGCUCCUCGAAGCUACUCCUUAAAUUCAAUAAACCGAAGGGCUGAAGUCCA